UGCCUUCUCCCCAAGCCUCUUCUCCACCUCCACUGCCAUCGCAUGCUUUCUCACAGCAUCUAGUGAGCCCUCGAGCAUCACUGCUUGUUUGGGGUUUCCGUUCAAGCAUCUGAUCGGAGGAGUUCUUUCGGACUGAGAGGGAGCCGAAAAGGCGAGAUUUCACUGCUUGUUUGGGUUUUCGCUCAAUUCUUCGUCUGAGAGUGAUCGGUUGUAUGGGAGUAUGAUCGAAUGUGUGGAUGAAUCUUGAAGCUUUUCUUUUGGAGCAGGGACCGGAAACCAGUGUAAGGAUCAAGAGUUGAAGCAGUUCUCUGAGCUUUUGAGCUUAUUUGGCAAUCCUUUCCCGGCUACAAACUCGCCGGUGAAAUCUGUGGUUAUUCCUUUGCUGCAAACUCAAUUCGU